rnacentral:rRNA from 1 species
GUGAGGAAUAUUGGUCAAUGGGCGGGAGCCUGAACCAGCCAAGUCGCGUGAGGGAAGACGGUCCUAUGGAUUGUAAACCUCUUUUGCCGGGGAGCAAGCGUGCGUUCGUGAACGCGCGUCGAGAGUACCCGGAGAAAAAGCAUCGGCUAACUCCGUGCCAGCAGCCGCGGUAAUACGGAGGAUGCGAGCGUUAUCCGGAUUUAUUGGGUUUAAAGGGUGCGUAGGCGGACUGGAAAGUCAGCGGUAAAAUUGAGAGGCUCAACCUCUUCCCGCCGUUGAAACUGUCGGUCUUGAGUGGGCGAGAAGUAUGCGGAAUGCGUGGUGUAGCGGUGAAAUGCAUAGAUAUCACGCAGAACUCCGAUUGCGAAGGCAGCAUACCGGCGCCCAACUGACGCUGAGGCACGAAAGCGUGGGUAUCAAACAGGA